rnacentral:rRNA from 1 species
UGGGGAAUAUUGCACAAUGGGCGCAAGCCUGAUGCAGCCAUGCCGCGUGUAUGAAGAAGGCCUUCGGGUUGUAAAGUACUUUCAGUCGGGAGGAAGGUGGUGAGGUUAAUAACCUCAUCGAUUGACGUUACCCGCAGAAGAAGCACCGGCUAACUCCGUGCCAGCAGCCGCGGUAAUACGGAGGGUGCAAGCGUUAAUCGGAAUUACUGGGCGUAAAGCGCACGCAGGCGGUCUGUCAAGUCGGAUGUGAAAUCCCCGGGCUCAACCUGGGAACUGCAUUCGAAACUGGCAGGCUAGAGUCUUGUAGAGGGGGGUAGAAUUCCAGGUGUAGCGGUGAAAUGCGUAGAGAUCUGGAGGAAUACCGGUGGCGAAGGCGGCCCCCUGGACAAAGACUGACGCUCAGGUGCGAAAGCGUGGGGAGCAAACAGG